UACGUAGGGUGCGAGCGUUAAUCGGAAUUACUGGGCGUAAAGCGUGCGCAGGCGGUUUCACAAGCUCGAUGUGAAAGCCCCGGGCUUAACCUGGGAAUGGCAUUGAGGACUGUGGAGCUCGAGUGCGGCAGAGGGAGGUGGAAUUCCACGUGUAGCAGUGAAAUGCGUAGAGAUGUGGAGGAACACCGAUGGCGAAGGCAGCCCCCUGGGCCGACACUGACGCUCAGGCACGAAAGCGUGGGGAGCAAACAGG
rnacentral:rRNA from 1 species